rnacentral:rRNA from 1 species
UACGUAGGGACCAAGCGUUGUCCGGAAUCAUUGGGCGUAAAGAGCGUGUAGGCGACUUGUUAAGUCUUGCGUGAAAUCUCGGGGCUCAACCCCGAGCGGUCGUGAGAAACUGGCAGGCUAGAGUGCGGGAGAGGAGAGUGGAAUUCCUGGUGUAGCGGUGAAAUGCGCAGAUAUCAGGAAGAACACCCGUGGCGAAGGCGGCUCUCUGGAACGCAACUGACGCUGAGAUGCGAAAGCGUGGGGAGCAAACAGG